GAGACGAGUGGGCAAGGCCUGGAAGCAGCGGAAGCAGCAGCAGAUGUGGCCACAGCCCAGGAGGACGCACUCACGGGGCCGGGUAAGGCAAACCACGCAGGAGUCCUCCAGCCCUUCGUCGCCAUCCUCCUCCACCUCCGGCUCCUUGUCCUGGUGCUUGUGGCGGAUGGCACGGCACAGGGUGUGCAGGAGGACAGCCAGCCCCACCACGGCACACAACAUAGCUGCCCCCUUCCAAAACCCUCUGGCUGACUCCAGCUCGGCCAGCACUGUCUGCCAGUCCCCCAGGCACAAGAAAUACUCGCCCUCCCGGGCUGGUGGUUGGAGGUGCAGGGAGCCAUCAGGGUGCAGGGCCAGCUCCCCAAUGCCUGUCAGCCCGGCCCCCACCCGCAGCAUCUCCUCUGUCUCGAGGAUGCCUUUGGGUUUCUCCCCACUCAGGUAGUGGCCCAGCAGGUCGCGGAAGCCGUGGGCUGGUUGCUGGAAGCGCUCGUACACCAUCUCCAGGGGCAGGCAGACGGCUCGCAGCGGGCUCUCCACGCUCACCUGUGUCACUGCUUCAGCAUCCGGGGAGGCCAGCAAGAAGGGGACAGUGUAGACCUGCUCUGAGAGCACCCGCUCGCUCUCAGUCCUGCAAGCGGAGAGCACAGCACUGAGAUGCGGAGAACCUGAAGGAAACCUGAGCUGCUAGGGCUGAACUGGGGGUAAGGACUGGAGACUCUACGCAAGCUGCUUUCUGCCUCUCAUGUGUCCCCAGAGGUUGGGGUCUGGAGCCGCCGGUGCAAGCCUGGCCCCGAUGUCCCCUCUGCUGCUCACCAGCUCCGUGCCAAGCUGUUCCAGAUCAGCCGAUGCUCUUUCAGAAGCAGCUUUUGGAUCACACCCUGCAUCCCCCCGUGGUAUUGGCUGGACAGCGCAGCCUUGGCUGGCAGCACUAUGCCUGAGGACAAACGGAUGUAUCACAGCCAAAGGAUGAGAGCCUGCUCCCUGUCCCCAGCGUGUGGCCAUGGGGACGCCUUACCUUCCAGGGCAACAUAAGGCAGGCACCUCCCAUCGGCUGCAGACACCACUGCUGGUAAACUGUCGUCAACCUGGAGCUUCGGGGCCUCCUGGAAGAGUAGGGCUGAGCGUGAACACAGGCACAGGCAGAUGGGCUGGCAGCAGAGGGUUUGUAGUAGAAGAGGCCGGAGAAGGCGAGGCUGGAGCCCAGGCACAGCAGCUCCACGGGACUGAUGGGCGGCGCAUCCAUGGCACGGGCUGGGGCAGCGGCUCUGCAAGCGCGAGCCCAGCCCCCCCGGCUCGGCCUCGGCCCCCCGGUCCGGCCCCGCCGCCGCCGCCGCUCACCCCGGUCCGGCCCGGCCCCGCCGCCCCCGAGGAGCCUAGGCCCGGACCCAGGCCCGGCCGCGCCGCCUGCCGGGAAGCGUAGUUCAGCCUUCGCAGCGCGGCGGCGGGGCCGGCGGGGGUCGGAACUACGCCUCCCACCAUCCCUCGCGUCGAACUACGGCUCCCGUCGUGCCCUGCGACAGGCCGCGGUGCUCGCCGCGAGGCCUACGAGCGCCUACAAGGCCCGGCGGGCAUUGCGCGUCGCGGUGCCGCCCGUGGGGGUGCUCAGCGCCGCGGCCGCCAUUUUCCCUCCCGUCGCGGCCGAAGGGGCGCCCGAAUCCCAACGGCGCCCCGGUUCGUCGCAUCGCGGCCCCCCAGGAAGGACCCGGAGACGUCGGCAUAGGUGGAAACUGCAUUUAAUCGUUCAAUAAAGUCAGCGAGAGCCACCCGCAGCGGAAGGCACCAGUGCCCGCGGCCGGGCCCGGCGGGCAGGGACGGGGGAGCCAAGCCGGGGCGGGAGGGAGCGCGGGGACGGCGGGGCCGGGCGGCAGCCGGCCUCCAUCCGCACAGCCCGGGGACGCGUCCCCGGCACGAGCGGGGCGGGGGGCAGAGCCGGGGCGCCUCCCGAGCGGGGGUCCCCGUCCCUACCACACCUCACAGUGCUUGCCGGGGUUCAUGGGCGAGCCCAGCGGGCAGCCGAAGUGCUGCACGAAGUCCCGCGAGUUGCUGAGGGUGCCGAUGACGCGGUACUUGUCGGGGCUGUGCGGGUCGGUCACCAGCCCUUCGUGGGAGCUCUCGGGUGUCCGCACCGAGCACCACACCUGCGCGAAGCCGACGAAAAAGAGCUGGUGGUUGGUGAGCCCCAGCGCCGGGAGCCGCUUCUCUUCUCCGUUCUUCUGCAGCCAGGAUUUGUACGCCUGUGGGAUGGACGCCACGAAAGCGUGGGAGGAGGUUGAGGGCUGUGCCCCCCUCCCCGCCCCGGCGGUCCCACUCACGUUGUAGGCCGCCUUCAGGCCGCCGUUGUCGGCGAUGUUCUCUCCCAGCGUCUGGCGGCCGUUGACGUUCUCGCGGUGCACAGUGUAGCGGCCGUACUGCUCCGUCAUGCAGGCCGUGCGGUUCUUGAAGGCCUCCAGCGAGGAGUUCUGCCACCAGGGCCGCAGGUUGCCCUCCUUGUCGUACUCGCGGCCUGCGGGACCGAGCCGUGGGGCGGCGACCCCAAACUCGCUGCGGGGUUCCCCAAACCGAACACCGUGGGGGGUCUUCAGGGGACUUGGGUUCAUGCGCUCUGGGAGCACGGUGUCCCCCAGCCCCUGCAGCGUGUUUAUCCCCUUACGGAGCCCCCCGCUGUCCCCUGUGACCAUAAAUUCCCCCCACGGCCCCCGCUCGUCCCCUCUGGCUCCGGUGAAGGCGCAAAGCAGAGCGGAUGUGAGAGGGACCCAUCCCAAAAGGAGGAUGAGGAGGAGGUUGGGGGGCCACGGGCCGGCCCGAGCUGCAGACACCGUGUCCUCACCAAGCGGAUGGAGCGAAAGCUGCACAGAGAAGCCGGGGGGAGGUAUCGGCAGGUGCCACCUGGGGAGACAGGACAUAGAAGGGGAAGCCAGCCAGCCGGGUUGGGGGGUGGCCAGGGCCACGAGCAUGCAUGAUGCAAUGGAUGGCAAAGCAGCACCCCCUCCCCACACCCAGGGGAUGAGUCCGGGAGGGGGAUGGGAAGGCGACAGGGGCUCCUGUUGCUCUCACCUUGGUCAUCGAAGGCGUGGGUCAGCUCGUGUCCCAUCACCACGCCGAUACCACCGAAAUUGAGGGCUCUGUGGGGCCGCAGGAAAGAGGUGAGUGAGUGCAGAAGGGGUGCAGCUGGGCAGCCCCUCCAGCUCAUGAGUGCCCCCCAGCCGGGAGCUGCCCCUCAGCUCCAUAUCGGGCUCACUUGGGGUGGUUGCGGGCGUAGAACGGUGCCUGCAGGAUGCCAGCGGGGAAGACGAUGCCGUUCUUGGUGGGCAGGUAGUAGGCAUUGACGGUCUGUGGGGUCAUGCUCCACCUGGGGAAUGGGGGACAGGGAUGUGUCUCCCCCCUCCAUCUCCCCCCUCAGGGCCCUCCUGUGCCAUCUCCCUCCUUGGGUCCCACCUGCAAGGGGCUGGCACCCGCCCCAUGAACAAAGGACCCUGCGUCCAUCCUGGGGAAAAGCCAGGGUACCCACAAUUAUCUGUGCCACCUCAUCUCUUGAAGUGCUCUAACCCUUGUUCCCACCCUGGAGGGGCCACCUGUGGGGAAGGGAUGCUUAAGUGACACAGGACUUACUGGUCACGGUUGGGAGGUUUCCGCAGCUGGUCAGCCAUCACUUUGGCAGAGAAGUUGUAGAAGUUGAGCAUGUUCUGGAAGAAGGAGUCCUCGGAGACCUCGUACUGGUGAGGAAGAAGAUAGGUGAGGAAGGACUGUCUCUUGCUGCAUCGUCCCACCACGGGUUGUGUGAAGGUGUCGGACCCCUCCCCAUGAGCCCCUACCCCAUCGUAGACAUCAUCCAGCUCUUUGUUGUCCAGGAUGAAGUCUGGGAAGCCGAUCAUGUCAUAGAUGGCAUCUGCCUGCAUGGGGAGAAGCCCUGGUGGUCAGAUGGGGCUGGGGGAUACCGGAGGGGUCUCCUGUGGAUCUCUCACCUUCUCCUUGGCAGCCUGCCUGGUCUUGUCAUCCAUCCAUUCCAGCUGUUCCAGGGAUACCUCAAAGGCUGUCCGGAUCUCACUGAUCAUCUCCUCCGCCUAGGGACAGGAGAGGAUGCUCUGUUCCCCGUGCCACUCAUGCAGGGAUGGGUUGGGCAGGAGGUGGCCAUGGGUGAGCCCCGCAUCCCAUCCCCAAUACUGGGGGUCCCAUUUCACCGUUCCCCAGGAUCUGGGGGAAAACAGGAGAUCUCGUGGAUGGGGAAGGUAUGUGUCCUCACGAUGGCCUUGCUGUCCCGGUCAAAGGUGGCUUUGACGAAGAGGGAGCCCAGGGCGAAGCCCAACGUGUCAUCUGUGUUCGAGAUGCAGGUCUGCCAGCGGGGCGUGCAGGACUGUGGGAGAGACCAGAGCCCUUGAGAUGUUAGGGCAGCCACAGACCUCCCUCCCUGCCCACUGUCUCCCCCCGGCUGUGGGGAGAUGCUCCACAGUGAAACCCUGUAUCCCAAAAGUUGUACCCCAAAUCCUUCUUCAGCAUCUGGGGCUUAGUAUGCCAAGGGGUGCCCAAGGGCAGAAGCGAUCCCAACUACCCCUGCACUGCUAUGGAUAGAGAAGGGUGGCCCCAAACCCCUCCUGUUACCUUCCUUGUGCCAUAAAGUGUCUCCAGCAGCCUCUCCUGGGCUGUCUCAAAGCGCUGGUCCAGGCUGGAGGCUGUUUUCUGCACCAGGUUCCAGAUCAGGUAGUUGUUCAGAACGCUGUGGGGCAGAGGGAUGUUUCGUGUG
rnacentral:lncRNA from 1 species